rnacentral:rRNA from 1 species
GCCUACGGGGGGCAGCAGUAGGGAAUCUUCCACAAUGGGCGAAAGCUUGAUGGAGCAACGCCGCGUGGGUGAAGAAGGUCUUCGGAUCGUAAAACCCUGUUGUUAGAGAAGAAAGUGCGUGAGAGUAACUGUUCACGUUUCGACGGUAUCUAACCAGAAAGCCACGGCUAACUACGUGCCAGCAGCCGCGGUAAUACGUAGGUGGCAAGCGUUAUCCGGAUUUAUUGGGCGUAAAGGGAACGCAGGCGGUCUUUUAAGUCUGAUGUGAAAGCCUUCGGCUUAACCGGAGUAGUGCAUUGGAAACU